rnacentral:rRNA from 1 species
GAUGAACGCUGGCGGCGUGCCUAAUACAUGCAAGUCGAGCGAACAGACGAGGAGCUUGCUCCUCUGUCGUUAGCGGCGGACGGGGGAGUAAUACGUGGAUAACCUCCCUAUAAGACUGGGAUAACUUCGGGAAACCGGAUAUAAUACCGGAUAAUAUAUUGAACCGCAUGGUUCAAUAGUGAAAGACGGUUUUGCUGUCACUUAUAGAUCGAUUCGCGCCGCAUUAGCUAGUUGGGAAGGUAACGGCUUACCAAGGCAACCAUGCGUAGCCGACCUGAGAGGGUGAUUGGGCACAUUGGAACUGAGACAGGUACGAGACGCCUACGAGGGGACGCAGUACGGAAUCUUACGCAAGGGGGGAGAGCCUAAUAGAGCAACGUGGGGGGAGUGAUGAGGGUCUUCGGCUCGUAAAACUAUGAAAUUAGGAAGGAACAAAUGUGUAAGUGUCUAUGCAGGUCUUGACGGUACCGAAUCAAAAAGCCCCGGCUAACUACGUG